rnacentral:rRNA from 1 species
GAUCCUGGCUCAGGAUGAACGCUAGCUACAGGCUUAACACAUGCAAGUCGAGGGGCAGCAUGACCUAGCAAUAGGUUGAUGGCGACCGGCGCACGGGUGAGUAACACGUAUCCAACCUACCGGUUAUUCCGGGAUAGCCUUUCGAAAGAAAGAUUAAUACCGGAUAGUAUAACGAGAAGGCAUCUGCUUGUUAUUUAAAGAAAUUUCGUAUAACCGAAUGGGGAGUGCGUUCCAUUAGUUUGUUGGCGGGGUAACGGGCCC